ensembl:lncRNA
UUGCUGGUCUAUGUCAUGGAUGUAUUUUGAUCAGAAGCAGCUCAAUAAAAAUGCAGAUGCUUCAGCCGAUUGUACAAAUAAAAAAAACAAAAAAACAAAAAACAACCCAGAAAUCAUUUGCAAUGACACUCAUGCACGUUUACAAUACUAAAGUAUGAGUGCACUUAAACAUGUACAUUCUAAUAUGCUGAUGCCUUCUGCAUGAUAAAUACUUUAUAGCAAAGUAAGAGCACACUACUACACUCUGAUAUGCCAAAAUGAGCAAUUCAUCGUUACAUACUAUAAUUAAUCUAGCAGUUUUACAGGAGUGAGGUCAAUAUGGGACUGCAUGCCCUGCUUCUGUACAUGAAUGCUGAUGUCUGUGUGCCGCUUGUGGUGUUUACUACUAUAGUGUUCUAAAUGUGAGUACAUGGCUCUAUUAGUGUAUACCAUUUUCCUAAUGGUACAUAUCUACAAUUAGCAUUACUUUAUUUUAGGAUUUUUUUACAUCCCUCAAGUAUUAAACGUAACCUUUUUGGUCUCAUAGUAGGCCUAUAUGGAGUGUUAAGAGAGUGUAGUGAUAUGAGAGGUAAAAGUUGGCAAUCUCAAGAUUUUCUCACUAUUUGUGUUUCCGCUGCAGGUAUCAAGCCACCAAAGUCAAUCAUUUGUGUGGAAACACGGGCACAUCAAGUCACUUUGCCGGAGCCUUUACCCUCGUAGAUCGAACCCCUUCCUCUGGAGCCGUGGCUCCACUGACCCAGCCCGCCAGACCUGUCCGGAGGGUGAGCGUGCCGAGGAGGGGAGCCAGAUAAGCUAGACGGAGAGCGGCUACGGCCCUGCAGUGCCCCGCCGUCGCGGAGCUCCCGGGACGGGGAGGAGCUGAGCGAACGCUGUAGGGAGGAAGAUGAGUUGCGAGGGCAAGGAGGCGGGCUGAAGAGCAUCCCGCUGCGGUCCUGCAUCAGCUGGGUCAGGCUUGCCAGGAAGUCUGCGUCGCUGGUGCUGCUGGCACGCACCCUUAACCGCCGCCGUCUGCAAAAAAAAAAAAAAAACAACAAAAAAAAAAAACAACAAAA